rnacentral:tRNA from 3 species
GGAGAGGUGACCGAGCGGUUGAAGGUGCACGCCUGGAAAGCGUGUGUACGGCCAUAAACCGUACCGAGGGUUCGAAUCCCUCUCUCUCCGCCA